rnacentral:rRNA from 1 species
GCAGUGGGGAAUAUUGGACAAUGGGCGAAAGCCUGAUCCAGCAAUGCCGCGUGAGUGAUGAAGGCCUUAGGGUUGUAAAGCUCUUUUACCCGGGAUGAUAAUGACAGUACCGGGAGAAUAAGCUCCGGCUAACUCCGUGCCAGCAGCCGCGGUAAUACGGAGGGAGCUAGCGUUAUUCGGAAUUACUGGGCGUAAAGCGCACGUAGGCGGCUUUGUAAGUUAGAGGUGAAAGCCUGGAGCUCAACUCCAGAAUUGCCUUUAAGACUGCAUCGCUUGAAUCCAGGAGAGGUGAGUGGAAUUCCGAGUGUAGAGGUGAAAUUCGUAGAUAUUCGGAAGAACACCAGUGGCGAAGGCGGCUCACUGGACUGGUAUUGACGCUGAGGUGCGAAAGCGUGGGGAGCAAACAGGAUUAGA